UUGGUACUUGUACCAACUGGAUGAGCAGCGAACGGGUGAGUAACGCGUGGGGAAUCUGCCUUUGAGCGGGGGACAACAUUUGGAAACGAAUGCUAAUACCGCAUAAAAACUUUAAACACAAGUUUUAAGUUUGAAAGAUGCAAUUGCAUCACUCAAAGAUGAUCCCGCGUUGUAUUAGCUAGUUGGUGAGGUAAAGGCUCACCAAGGCGAUGAUACAUAGCCGACCUGAGAGGGUGAUCGGCCACAUUGGGACUGAGACACGGCCCAAACUCCUACGGGAGGCAGCAGUAGGGAAUCUUCGGCAAUGGACGAAAGUCUGACCGAGCAACGCCGCGUGAGUGAAGAAGGUUUUCGGAUCGUAAAACUCUGUUGGUAGAGAAGAACGUUGGUGAGAGUGGAAAGCUCAUCAAGUGACGGUAACUACCCAGAAAGGGACGGCUAACUACGUGCCAGCAGCCGCGGUAAUACGUAGGUCCCGAGCGUUGUCCGGAUUUAUUGGGCGUAAAGCGAGCGCAGGUGGUUUAUUAAGUCUGGUGUAAAAGGCAGUGGCUCAACCAUUGUAUGCAUUGGAAACUGGUAGACUUGAGUGCAGGAGAGGAGAGUGGAAUUCCAUGUGUAGCGGUGAAAUGCGUAGAUAUAUGGAGGAACACCGGUGGCGAAAGCGGCUCUCUGGCCUGUAACUGACACUGAGGCUCGAAAGCG
rnacentral:rRNA from 1 species